rnacentral:lncRNA from 1 species
GAGAAACAAUAGCUAAUUUCACUAAAGCCACGUCAGAGGAAGAUAUAUUUGAAAAUAAAAUAAAAUGGGAAGAAAGCUACAAAGAUAACACCAUUGAAAAAUCCUAAGAGGACCAGAGCUGCUGUUCCUUCAGAGGAUGUGAGUGAUGUUGAAAGAUUAAUAACGUUUGGAUCACGUUAAUUACAGUGAUGUUAUAAACUCGGCUAUUCCAGUUGCCAUAACAACCCACUAUAUGUCGGUUUUCUAAUGACAUUUCGAACAAGUGCUGAAGCGAACUGCCUCACUUGAGCACUUUGAUUGCUGUCAUUCAGUGAUUUUUAAAUUGAAUUGUUUUGUUCUUAAAGAGUCAGAAUAUGUCACUGUCUUCAAAAAUCUUCUCAAAAUUAUGGAAAGGAAAUGAUACACAUUUCUAUACAAUUAUGGAGUACUCAAGAAAAAGAAAUAACAUUUUGUUUGUCAUAUGCAAUUAACAGAUUUUUUUUCAUAGGGAUAAGGGGGAAAAAAAACCCAUAGUAGAAAAGGGGAGUGCACUUCGUACCUCUCCGAGGACGCGUUCCCUCAGGGAACAGCUUGACAAUAGAAUUUUUCUUGGAAGGAGCUUACUUUUAUCAGUUGUAUUUCUCUACUGUCCAGUCUCUCUUUUUCCUUCCACCUUCCUUUUCCUCCCUUCUGGUAAAUUCUUGGAACCUGUGAUACUGAUGGAGGUGGCAGCCACGUCUGAGUGAGGUGAGGUUGUGGCAUUCACAUGGCUUUCUGAUCUCGCUUCUCUCUGCUGACCAAUCCACUUCUCUCUCUCCAGGGGCUGCCUGGGGUAUAUAAUGAAAGGAAGACUACUUGCCGCUGGCUUGUAUUAGAUUGAAUUUUAAUAUACCCAGGAGAAUAUGUUAAAUACGUAUUGUGUCACUGACAAGAAGCAAAGCAUGAUUGUACUAGACGUGUUUCUAAGUUCCUGCUUGGUCCCCAGCCUACUCUGCUCCUGCUGCCUGUGGGGGAGCCUCCCCACCCAGCCAACCGCCAACAGCAAUCGCUGGCUGAAUCAGAGAGGGUGAAUUUGAAGGAGGGGAUCUGUGUCUCAGCCUUUGCACCACCACCUCACCCCAUAUGUCUGCACUAAGUAAGUAUUUAAAAUAAAUGAAUGGUGUGUGUUUGGUGGGGGGCAAUGGAUUUGAAAAUGGCAUUUGCUUAAAAGCUCUAGAUCUUAACAGUUUUCAAGAAUUAAAAACAAGCAGGACAUAGGAAGCAUCACCAAUGAAUCAUGGUCAAACGUAAGUUUCAGUAUCUCUGGGUGCCUAGCAAUCUUCUAACAGCCAAAUGGAAGCAAGGCUGACCGCGUU